rnacentral:lncRNA from 1 species
CCACACCUCCCUGCAAGCUGAGGGAGUUGGCUCCGGCCUUGGCCAGCCCAGAAAGGGGCUCCCACAGUGCAGCGGUGGGCCGAAGGGCUCCUCAAGUGACGCCAAAGUGGGAGACCAAGCAGAGGAGGUGCCAAGAGCAAGCGAGGGGCUGUGAGGACUGCCAGCACGCUGUCACCUCUCACCGGGGCCGAGGAACAGGAGCACCGCAGACCUUCUGGUAACUCUCUGCCAUCGGAUUCCCGGGCAAGGGCACCUCUGAGCUCCCUGGCAGGCGAGCCAGGAGAAUGCAGCCAUUCCUGCUGCAGAAAUAUCUGCAUGAUUUGUCAUCUGCCUUCGGUCAGGCCAUCAGCACAGAAAUGCUUCAGAUGCACACAAUCAUGCAUACUUUUGCCCUCUCGCUCCACAAAGAUUACCAUGUGCCAGGCACGGACUUUCUCCCCAUGGAGUCGGACAAUCCUCCUGGGCAGGAGCAUCCAGGCUGUUUCCUGGUGCCCCUUCCCCCUCCAGCCCAGCUGUAGGCCUAGGGGAAGAAGGACACCUGGAGCUUCCAGGCCGACCUUAAGCUGCAUUUUGCAGUGUGGCCAGCAGGACGCAGCAUGGCCCCAGAUCGGGCAGCACUGAGGCUGCAGGCUAAGGAGGCCACCAGGCGGGCAGGGUGAAAGAGCAGGGCUGUGUGAGGUGGCCCCUGGUUACUCCUCUGUGCCCAUGCCCCACCCUCUAUGGGUUUAGGAACUGAAUAUCUGGGGGCCUCUCAGGGCUGAGCCAGGCUCCUGCUCUCAGUUCCUGCAGGCGCUCUCCACAUCCCUUCUCAUGGUCUUCAGUAAACACGAGGACAAGGACAGGAGGGAGGGGAAAGGGAGAGGGUGGGGCUGCUGCGGAAGCCCCUGCCAAGACCACAGACCUCAGGCAAGCUGCUUCCCUGGCAACUCCGCUGCCUGCCCUCCCUGGACCCCAGCACAGUCCCCGGAGUCACCUCUGCCCUCGACAGAGAACAAGUGCACUCUUGGUGACCUUGAACGUGAAGCCUGGUGAGGCUUUGGAGGAGAGGCCCACCUUGCCAGGGCCCUUGGUGUGGCUGAGUCUCUGCUUCCCUUGCCGUCUCAGCCUCUCCCUCCCUCUAGGGGGCUGGGGGUCGGGACAGCGCCUGUGGGGCUCUGGCCCAGCCAGUUGGGCCACAUCAAGCAGGGACCCAGACAAAAGUCAAGGGCAGUGAGUAGGGAGCUGGCACCGCAGAGAGUCCACUUCCCAGGCGCAGCCUUGGCCAUGAUGUUUGAGGACAGCUGCAGGGGCUGUUUGGUGCCCUCAUGUCCUUCUGAUGCUGCAGGUAGCGAUGGGGGCAGAGAGAAGAGGUGGGCUCCGAGCAGGAGUGAGCAAAGGUGGGGCUAGCCCCUGGCUCUGGUGAUGGCACCCUGGGGUGACUAGAAGGUGGGUCCCCAGUGGAGUUUGGGGACAGAAAGGUGCAGGCCAAGCCCAGCACUCCAUCCCCGGAACGGAGAACUGAGCUGAGCAGUGCGGGGCGGGUGGGCUGGGUAGGUGGGAGUCAGGGCUCUCAUUUGGGGCUAGCACAGGGACCCCUCGUACAGUCUCAUACUCUCCUCACAGGAUCCAAUGUACCUGCCAAAUUGAUAAGAAAUUCACCCCAACCCUUCCUUUCCCAGGACAGUCAGACUGGCUUUGGAAAUGAUUAAAAGUUGAUCUGGGCCUGGGCAGAAGGGCAUGGCUGUUAGCCAAAGCUGAACUGCAUUCAUCUUCAAAGACUUAAGAGAAGCAGCCCCUUCUACCCUCAGCCACCAGGACCAUUCUGUCACAUUCUGUGGGAGGCUCCUGCUAAUGGAAUGAGGCCACUCACAGAGCUUGGUCAAUUAGCUCUUGCUGAAAACUGCUAACGUGGAACUUUGUCUUCCCAUCGCCCGCAGAAGGUGCCAGGUGCUGCCUUUGUUGUUAAUGCUCCUCCCACCACCCCAUGGAGACUUGAUGGGCCCCAGAUGUGCUGGGUCAGGAUGUUACCACACAGCAGGUGGAUCCUGUCUCUCCAUGAGUGUAUUCGUCCAUUCUGCAGUGCUAUGAAGAAACACCUGAAACUGGGUAAUUUAUAAGAAAAGAGGUUUAAUUGGCUAACAGUUCCACAGGCUGUACAGGAAGCAUGGCUAGGGAGGCCUCAGGAAACUUUCAAUCAUGGCAGAAGGCAAAGGGGAAGCUGGCACGUCUUCCAUGGCCAGAGAGUGAGGAAGAGAGAGAGGAGGGGGAGGGGCUGCACACAUUUAAAUGACCAGAUCUUGUGAGAUCUCACUCGCUAUCACGAGAACAGCAAGGGGAAAGUCCUACCCCAUGAUCCAGUCACCUCCCACCAGGGAGCUCCUCCAAUGCUGAGGAUUACAAUUCAACAUGAGAUUUGGGUGGGGACACAAAUCUAAACUAUAUUGUCACUGGUGGAGGGUUGUGACUGCAGGUUGUCCAGGUUCUUGGCCUAUUGAACAAAGAAUUGGACAAAAUGCCCAGCAAGGCAAAGAAAGAAUGAAGCAACAAAAGAAUGAAAAUGGGGAUUUAUCGAAAACGAAAGUACACUCCAUGGUUUGGGAGUGGACCGAGCAGCAGCUCAAGGGCCCAGAUACGGAAUCUUCUUGGGUCCAAAUAUCCUCUAGAAGUUUCCCAUUGGCCACAUCAUGCUCACCUCAUGUAAAUGAAGUGGUGGCCUGCAAUCAGUCUGAUUGGUUACAGAAAGCAGCCAACCAGAGGCUGAAGUGAAGUUACAAAGGUUACACUCCUGUUCAACCAAUCAGAGACUAGGGUGAAGUUACAAAGUUAUACUUCUAUUGAAACGAAGAUGUGGCCAGCAAUCAGUCUGAUUGGUUGUGGACAGCAGCCAUUCAGAGGCUGGAGUGAAGUUACAAAGUGGCAAACAAAGACUGGACCUUCAAUCAAUCUGAUUGGUUGUGGACAGCCAAUUUCCCAUCUGCCUAGCAGAAAAGGUGAGGGGGUUGCAAAGGGAGUAGCCUGUGGUCCUUUUGUUACUUAGGCAUGGAAAGGUAGGGUUCUGCCUUCAAUUUAGUUCUAGGAAGUCGGUGUGAAACAGGCUUAGGUUCCCUGUGUCCAGACCCUAUUCUCCUGCCUCAAUAUUGGUAUCACCCAAUGAUCACCCAGUGACCAUAACCAAGGAGGAUUUAGCAAUGGGAUUUUGUUACUUGUAACAGGGAACCAGCAGGGACAGUUCCCAAGGCAGUGUGUCUCUGAGCUGGGCACUGGGUCAAAUUUUAGAAGCAUAGGCUAACGAGGUGUGAUGUUACUGGAAACUGCCAUGGGGGUGACACCAGAGCUCCAACUGCUUUUUUUUUUUUUAAUUUAUUAUUAUUAUACUUUAAGUUUUAGGGUACAUGUGCACAAUGUGCAGGUUAGUUACAUAUGUAUACAUGUGCCAUGCUGGUGCGCUGCACCCACUAACUCGUCAUCUAGCAUUAGGUAUAUCUCCCAGUGCUAUCCCUCUCCCCUCCCCCCACCCCACAACAGUCCCCAGAGUGUGAUGUUCCCCUUCCUGUGUCCAUGUGUUCUCAUUAUUCAAUUCCCACCUAUGAGUGAGAAUAUGCGGUGUUUGGUUUUUUGUUCUUGCAAUAGUUUACUGAGAAUGAUGAUUUCCAACUUCAUCCAUGUCCCUACAAAGGACGUGAACUCAUCAUUUUUUAUGGCUGCAUAGUAUUCCAUGGUGUAUAUGUGCCACAUUUUCUUAAUCCAGUCUAUCAUUGUUGGACAUUUGGGUUGGUUCCAAGUCUUUGCUGUUGUGAAUAAUGCUGCAAUAAACAUACGUGUGCAUGUGUC